rnacentral:rRNA from 1 species
GAGUUUGAUCCUGGCUCAGGAUGAACGCUAGCGGCAGGCUUAACACAUGCCAAGUUCGAACGGUAACAGGAUUGAUUUAUCAAUUGCUGACGAGUGGCGCACGGGUGCGUAACACGUAUGCAACCUACCUUUUACAGGAGAAUAGCCCCGAGAAAUCGGGAUUAAUACUCCAUGGUACUAUAAGACCGCAUGGUCUAAUAGUUAAAGCUUCGGCGGUAAAGGAUGGGCAUGCGACCUAUUAGUUUGUUGGUGAGGUAACGGCUCACCAAGACUUCGAUAGGUAGGGGGUCUGAGAGGAUGAUCCCCCACACUGGUACUGAGGCACGGACCAGACUCCUACGGGAGGCAGCAGUGAGGAAUAUUGGUCAAUGGAGGAAACUCUGAACCAGCCAUGCCGCGUGCAGGAAGACGGCCCUACGGGUUGUAAACUGCUUUUAUUCGGGAAGAAACCCUGCUACGUGUAGCAGGCUGACGGUACCAAACGAAUAAGCACCGGCUAACUCCGUGCCAGCAGCCGCGGUAAUACGGAGGGUGCAAGCGUUAUCCGGAAUUAUUGGGUUUAAAGGGUCCGUAGGCGGACCGUUAAGUCAGUGGUGAAAUCCUUCGGCUCAACCGGAGAACUGCCAUUGAAACUGAUGGUCUUGAAUAUAGUUGAANUGGGCGGAAUAUGGCAUGUAGCGGUGAAAUGCUUAGAUAUGCCAUAGAACACCGAUAGCGAANGCAGCUCACUAAGU